rnacentral:sRNA from 1 species
UAUCAGCUGAGGUUCGAUUGGUCCUCGU